GAGGAUAUAGCUUAAGUGGUAGAGUGUGUGCCUAGCAUGCACAAGGUCCUAGGUUCAAUCCCCAGUACCUCCU
rnacentral:tRNA from 1 species